CGGAUUCUGGCUCAGGAUGAACGCUAGCGACAGGCCUAACACAUGCAAGUCGAGCGGCAGCACCUCGGGUGGCGAGCGGCGCACGGGUGAGCAACGCGUAUGUAACCUGCCCAUGAGUGGGGGAUAGCCCGGUGAAAACCGGAUUAAUACCCCCAUGAUACCAUUAUUAGACAUCUUAGAAUGGUUAAAGAUUCAUUGCUCAUGGAUGGACAUGCGUUGGAUUAGCUGGUUGGCGGGCAACGGCCCACCAAGGCGACGAUCCAUAGGGGUUCUGAGAGGAAGGUCCCCCCACAUUGGUACUGAGACACGGACCAAACUCCUACGGGAGGCAGCAGUGAGGAAUAUUGGUCAAUGGGCGGAAGCCUGAACCAGCCAAGUCGCGUGAAGGAUGAAGGCAUUUAAUGUGUUGUAAACUUCUUUAGCUGUGGAGAAAUAAGGUGCACGCGUGCACCGAUGCUAGUACACAGAGAAUAAGGAUCGGCUAACUCCGUGCCAGCAGCAGC
rnacentral:rRNA from 1 species